rnacentral:lncRNA from 10 species
CACUCUGUCGCCCAGGCUGGAGUGCAAUGGUGUGAUCUCGGCCUCCCGGGUUCAAGCAAUUCUCUGCCUUAGCCUCCCGAGUAGCUGAGUUUACAGGCACCUGCUGCAGGGAGCCGAAGGCUCGUGGCCCGUGGGACGUGACCAACUCAGCAUUCCACUGGAGGCUACAGAUCAAACAGCAAACUGUUUAUCAUGAAUGCAGGAUGUCAGCAAACUCAUGACUGCUCCGGCUGAUGAAGGUUUGCUGGAGGCAAUCACUCCCUGGCGCCGUUAUCUACUGCGACAUCUAGAGAAUGCAGUCUUGCAAGACUACUCUGGACCCCUGGCGCCGUUAUCUACUGCGACAUCUAGAGAAUGCAGUCUUGCAAGACUACUCUGGACCCCUGGCGCCGUUAUCUACUGCGACAUCUAGAGAAUGCAGUCUUGCAAGACUACUCUGGACCGAGCAGCUGACCCCUUCUUCCACCUCCCCUUCUCACUGUCUCUUUUGCCUAAUAAAUAUGAAGGGCUGUGUAAAGCUCAGGGCCCUUGUCCCCUAGAGGCAAAGCGCCCCCGAUCCCUUCUUCCAAAUACACUCUUUUGUCUCAUCUUUAUUCCCGUGUUCACCCCACUUUGUUUAGUCCACCUAGGUCCGUGCAGGUUACAAAUGGCAACCAGAACAGGGACUCCAAGCACGCCCAACUAGCAGCAUCCAAACAUGGGACUUCAAGGACGUGAAUGAAGAAGGUCUGCUGGAGCAGAGGAACUGAAAUUGACAAGGCGAAAGGGGACCCUGGGAAGAGUCUGCCGGCAGCAGAUAUAAGUCUGUAAAAUCGGAUGGACCACCAAUUGGAGAAUGAGAGCCUCCCAGCCCAGCCUUACAUUCUUUCAAUUAAUACAUAAACAGAAAGGGGGAUAUGCAGGGAGCCAAAGGCCUGUGGGACGUGACCAACUCAGCAUUCUGCUGGAGGCUAUAUGAUCAAACAGCAAACUGUUUAUCAUGAAUACAGGAUGUGAGCAAACUCAGGACUGCUCCUGCCAACAUAAGGUUUGCUGGAGGCAAUCACUCCCUGGCACCGAGGUUAUCUACUGCGACAUCUAGAGAAUGCAGUCUUGCAAGCCUACUCUGAACUGAGCAGCCGACCCCUUCUUCCACCCCCCCACCCUCCUAUCUCUUUUGCCUAAUAAAUACGGAGGGCUGUGUAAAGCUCAGGGCCCUUGUCCACUAGAGGUAAGGUGCUCCCUGACCCCUUCUCCCAAAUAUACUCUUUUGUCUCCUGUCUUUAUUCCCACGUUCACCCCCAUUUGUGCAGUCCCAUGGGUCCAUGUGGGUUACGGCCCGCCACCGCGCCUGGCUGAUUUUUGUAUUUUUAGUAGAGAUCGGAUUUCAGCAUCUUGGUCAGGCUGGCCUUCAACUCCGGAUCUCAUCACACACCCGCCUCAGCCUCCCCACAUGCGGUUAUUAUAGUUGAUAUGUCUGAACCAAAAUGAUAUGGGAAGCUUGAGAAUAAAAGGUUGGAGACAAUAUGCCACAGAGAGAGUAACCAAAGAUAAUCUGUUAUAACUAUAUCUCAGACAAAACUGACCAGAAAUCCUAAAGAAUUAACAGAGAGAAAGAGAAACAAUGCUCACUGAAAAGAGGUGAAAUUUGGCUCUUCAUUCAUAGAAAUACACCAUAUGUAUACCCCUAACAACAGUCUUGAAAUGUAUACAGCAAAAAAUAGAACCAAAAACAAGAAAUAGAAAAUUCAGACUAAAGACUUUAACAGACCUUUCCUAGUAACUGACAGAACAGACCAUCAACAAACAAAAUAAAAUUUAUAAAUGAGAAAGAAAUGAAUCUUUUAUCUGAGGAAUGUGACUCCCUUUAAAUUAUCAGGUCUAGAGAGGCAUUAAAAUGUGACAGCAGUCUUUCUGAUAGGGGUUCCCCUGAAAAAAAGAAAAAAGAAAAAAUUAAAAACUAAAAAAAAAAUUUAAUGUGACAAUAGUCACAUCUCAUUUCCCCCUCAAGCUAAAUAAUUAUCUCUUAAAGCCACUUGCUAUGUAGGCUCUAGACUAACUCACACUGAGUAGCCAUAAAAUGCCAUUCACUGGACAUCCUAACUCAUAAAACCCCAUAGUUAACAAUGUACAGCCAAUUGUUAAUUGAUAUUAUUUCUGUAAACCAAUGAGAAUUCUUGCCAAACAACUUUAUGUCAGCUCACGGUUUGUUCCCUUUUGACUUUAAAACCUGUUUCUAACAAAAUCCUAACAGAGCACUUAACCAAGGCAACCUGAAAGUAUUUUCCCAGGCAGCUGUCCUCAUUUUGGCUCAAGUAAACUCUUUAAAAUUGUAUUUUGUGCAGUUUCCUCUUUUAGGCUGACAUAAACGAUAUCAUUUAGAAGAACUCGAAUAUAUUUUUAAAAUUAGAUUUACUGAGAUAAAUUUUAACAGUUUUAAAUAAAUGCAAAGAUGUACUAUAAAGAUGGGCUGGAAAACAAAGCAU